GAUGCCGAAGAAAAUGUGAAUGAUUUGAGAACAAGGUUGCGCGGGCGUCAACCGUUGCGCACGCGUACCGACAGCAAAAUCAAUACUACUCUUUCCCCUAGUACGCCAAGAGUGUAGUUGGCGGGAUGGACUCUCUAAACUGUGUCGCUAACCGCUCGUGUUAUACUGUCCCAGCAGAAAGGCCUUAGUAUUUGUGUUUUGAAGUAAAGGAUGCAAAUGGAAUCACAUCCGGAUUUGAGUUUUUCAGUUUGGGGAUCUUUUGGCAAAGCUCGUAAUCAAAUGUCACAAUUCUGUGAUCUUUGCAGUGACUUUAGCCGAUUCAUCGCCCCAGCUUAUCACCAUGAUCGAUGUGAACGGUCCGUUCAAAUGCGAUUGUAUUCGAUGCACAAACGUGAAUUUGGUUUAGUUUUCUUGGCUUUUUUCGCUUGUUUUGGCAUGUGUGUUUUCGUCGGUCUGGCAGGUCCUCCCAUCACUUCCACCACCCACCAAAGUAUUUCCCAGAUCAGCGGUCACCCCAACGGAAGCGAUAUGGCCACUGGGCCGUAUUAUCUAGCUACCCCUUUACUAACAUCCUACCAUCAACAGUUUUGGUUGAUUGCUCAAAUCGUGACGGAAAAUAAAGACGAUGAAAGCUUUGAAAAGAAAUUUCACGUCAGCAUUGCAAUGGAUGGACUUAAGGAAAACGACCAAGUCAGCAAAAUAGUUCCUAGCGAUCACACGCACAAUCGGACAAGAGAUUUACAAUGUGAACGACGGAACUGUAGCGAAAUCCUCAUUCUUCAUAUGGGCUAUUUCGACUACUCUCAUUAUGCCUUGACGAUACGUUUUUAUGGAUUGGAGAGUAUCCAUAACCGAUACGUCAUCAGAGAUGUUAUAUUUUACUUUCGUAGCUACAACCCGGCAUUCACACGUUUAGAAAUUUGGUUUCGGUUCGUCUUCUUAUUAAGUACUUUCAUUGCUACAUGCUGGUUUUUUGUUUCCAUGAAGAAAUAUUCCGUUGUCAACUGGUCCCUCGAACAAAAAUGGAUGUCAGUUUUAAUGCCAUUGCUCAUCCUCUACAAUGAUCCAGUUUUUGCGAUGAGUUUCUUAAUCGACUCUUGGUUUCCCGGAGCACUUGACGCCAUAUUCCAAAUUAGUUUUCUCGGUGCACUGCUCCUAUUUUGGCUAUGUGUAUACCACGGUCUUCGACAAAACGAUCGGCGUUUUAUCAUCUUCUACCUCCCCAAAGUCCUAUUAGUCGGCUCCAUCUGGCUUUCAAUGAUCAUAGUCGCCGUAUGGCAAGAUAUUGAAGAAGUUAACGACCCAACAUUCAGUUACAAACUAGACACGGAUCAUUUUUACGGAUUUAAAAUGUUCCUCAUUAUAGCUUCUGCUGUUUACUUGGCCUAUUUGGUUCUACUUAUGAUCAAAGCAUAUAGUGAACUUCGAUCGAUGCCUUUCUUUGAUAUGCGAUUGAAAUUUUUGACACUGCUGGUACUCUUCGUCCUGGGCAUCAGUAUCUCAGUGACGUUUUUCCGUUACGGUAUCGGUGUUCUUCAGGAUAAUUUUAUAGCCCAACUCAGUACCAACUACCACAACUCUAGCGAAUUCCUGGCUCUGUAUGGUCUGCUUAACUUUUACAUCUACACCAUGGCCUACGUCUAUUCUCCGACAAGCAACGCAGUUUUAGAGCACAGUGUCAUGAAAGACAACCCGGCCUUUUCCAUGGUCAACGAUAGCGACGAAGAUGUCGUUUACGGUUCAGAUGACGACGGACGGAAGCCUCUCACAAUUAACUUGACUUCCAAAGAUGAUGAUAGUGAUUAGAGUUUAGACCACUGAUUCAAGCGGCAAGGUAUAUUUUUCGGCAUCAAUUCAAAGUUAUGAAUUUCUAAGUGCAGUACGAUGCCAAAUGUACCGUAUGUUCAAUUUGACACUCUUGAAUAUAAAGGAAAGUAAUGCUACUGACGGAUUGUUGUCACAUCUUAUAUUUGUAAUUUAAGGUAAUCUUUCAUUUUAAUGUCAUAAUUGUACUGUUUUUAACAACAUAAUUGGCUUUUGUGCGUAAAAUGGUACUGGUAUAGUAGUCUAAGCCAAUGAAAGGAAAUGAACAAUUAAUCUACACCUUUAACAUGCAAAUUAUUCAUUUUAAUAAUAAGUAUACAUAUAAAUGCGAUGAUUAAACAUAAAGUACUAAAAUUCUGAUGCAAAAUAGCAAGAACAAGCUCAC